rnacentral:sRNA from 1 species
AUCUAUCGCUGCUAAUCUAUCGCUGCCAACCUAUCUAUCGCUGCCAACCUAUCUAUCGCUGCCGAUUUAUCUACCACUGCCAAUCUAUCUAUCACUGCUAAUCUAUCACUGCUGUCAAUCUAUCUAUUGCUGCUAAUCUAUCGCUGCUAAUCUAUUGCUGCUAAGCUAUCCCUCGCUGCUAAGCUAUCCCUCGCUGCUAAGCUAUCCCUCGCUGCUAAGCUAUCGCCGCUGCCAACCUAUCUAUCGCAGCUAAUCUAUCUAUCGCUGCUAAUCUAUCGCCGCUGCCAAUCUAUCGCUGCUAAUCUAUCGCUGCCAACCUAUCUACCGCGGCGAAUCUAUCUAUCGCUGCCAAUUUAUCUACCACUGCCAAUCUAUUGCUGCUAAUCUAUCGCUGCUAAUCUAUCGCUGCCAACCUAUCUACCGCGGCGAAUCUAUCUAUCGCUGCCAAUUUAUCUACCACUGCCAAUCUAUCUAUUGCUGCUAAUCUAUUGCUGCUGCCAAUCUAUCUAUCACUGCUAAUCUAUUGCUGCUAAUCUAUCACUGCUAAUCUAUCGCUGCUAAUCUAUCGCUGCUAAUCUAUCGCUGCCAACCUAUCUACCGCGGCGAAUCUAUCUAUCACCAUCAUUACUAGUUCAAAAUAGAACUAGAGCAUAAAUACACUAAACUUCUUUUGAUAGGUAAUGAUUUUUGGUAACGCUCAUAGCAUUAUAUCAUCUAUAUAGGGUAAAUCAUGGUCCUUUAACAAUGGGACCAAAUGGGACCAGAAUCAGUAAUUUAUAAGAAGAACAUGACCUGGGACUAGAUUUAUAAUAUAAACAGUGUAAAGUGACUAAUUUAAUAAACACUAUAUGAGACCAG